rnacentral:rRNA from 1 species
UACGAAGGGUGCAAACGUUGCUCGGAAUUAUUGGGCGUAAAGCGCACGUAGGCGGCAUCGCAAGUCGGAUGUGAAAUCUUAUGGCUUAACCAUAAAAAGUGCAUCCGAAACUACGUGGCUCGAGUAUGGCAGAGGAAGGUGGAAUUCCACGUGUAGCGGUGAAAUGCGUAGAGAUGUGGAGGAACACCGAUGGCGAAGGCAGCCUUCUGGGCCAAUACUGACGCUCAUGCACGAAAGCGUGGGGAGCAAACAGG